UACGUAGGGCGCAAGCGUUGUUCGGAAUUACUGGGCGUAAAGGGCGCGUAGGCGGCCCUCUAAGUCGGACGUGAAAUCCCUCGGCUCAACCGGGGAACUGCGUCCGAUACUGGAGGGCUUGAAUCCGGGAGAGGGAUGUGGAAUUCCAGGUGUAGCGGUGAAAUGCGUAGAUAUCUGGAGGAACACCGGUGGCGAAGGCGGCAUCCUGGACCGGUAUUGACGCUGAGGCGCGAAAGCUAGGGUAGCAAACGGG
rnacentral:rRNA from 1 species